GACGAACGCUGGCGGCGUGCUUAACACAUGCAAGUCGAGCGGAAAGGCCCUGCUUUGGUGGGGUGCUCGAGUGGCGAACGGGUGAGUAACACGUGAGUAACCUGCCCUUGACUUUGGGAUAACUUCAGGAAACUGUGGCUAAUACCGGAUAGGAGCUCCUGCUGCAUGGUGGGGGUUGGAAAGUUUCGGCGGUUGGGGAUGGACGCGCGGCUUAUCAGCUUGUUGGUGGGGUAGUUGCUUACCAAGGCUUUGACGGGUAGCCGGCCUGAGAGGGUGACCGGCCACAUUGGGACUGAGAGACGGCCCAGACUGCUACGGGAGGCAGCGGUGGGGAAUAUUGCACAAUGGGCGGGAGCCUGAGGCAGCAACGCCGCGUGCGGGAUGACGGCCUUCGGGUUGUAAACCGCUUUCGCCUGUGACGAAGCGUGAGUGACGGUAAUGGGUAAAGAAGCACCGGCUAACUACGUG
rnacentral:rRNA from 1 species